CCACUGUCCGGUUCUGGCUUCCAGUGCGGGGCGGGCCUGAAGCCUCGCAGGCCUCCGGCUGGCGAGUUGCUGCUAUAGCAGACAGUAAGGCCGAAAGUCGGCCGAGCUCCACCCUGCCUCCUUCCUCUCUUUGCCCCAGAGCGCUGCUCAGCUGUGGUUUACGGUGGCACGGGGAACUGAACCUAGGACCCCGGAGCUUCAGGCAUGAGAGUUUUCUCAAACCGUUAGGCUACAUUCCCGUUCUAGCAGUGAGGUGAUUGAGGCUGGGGAGACGGAGUGAGCAGCCCAAGCUCGCACAGCUCGGGGUGCCGGAACCCAGUGUCGGCUGAGGGCACCGGAAGCGCCAGGACCUGACGGUCCAUCCCGGGCCGUCUUGCCUGUCCCACCGGACACUGGAGGCCAGGGAGGCCCGUGGACGUGGAGCCCGUGCACAGCAUUCGCCAGAACCCAAAGCCCGUUUGCACCCGCCGCCCUGCCUCUGAGGGUGUCUGAUACUCCCUGCACCAUUCCAGGUCUCUGAUCUAGUCUGGCUCUUCCCGUCAGAGGGCAAAGACCAUUCAGGGCUUUGCAGGGUGUGCUCGCACCCAGGCGAGGUGAAACGGGGAAGAGGUCCACCUGGGAGCAGGCCCUGUCCUGCGGGGAGGCGGCUGGUGCUGACCUGGGACCCACACAGAGGCCUCCAGGGUGCAGUGAGGCGCCUCUAAGAGGAAGCUCAGUCCAUUUCUUCUUUUUUUUUUUUGCCUCCAGGGUUAUUGCCGGGCUCGGUGUGACACCACGAGUCCACGGCUCCGGGAGGCCGCUUCCCCAUUUUGUCGCCCUUGUUGUCUUUUUUCAGCUCCCAGGGAGAUGAUGCGUGGUGGCUGGAGAGUGGAAUUAGCGUUCAAGGCCCUGAGAUUGAUGCUUAAUACCACAUAUGCCAAAGCAGUGCUCUGUUCUCUUACCUCUUCCCGCUGCGCCCCGCCCGACCCCCAAAAAGGAAUUUUAGAGGGGCAGGGUAGAUAGCAUAAUGGUUAUGCAAAAGGCUUUCAUGCCUGAGAGCCUCAGCUUCAAUCCUCAGCACAACCACAAACCAGAGCUGAGCAGGGAGGGCUCUGGGGGGGAAGAAAAAAGAGAGAAAGAAAAGAAAAAAGUCUAGGGUCCAGGAGAUAGCUCAGCCGGUAGUGUGCGUACUUUACCGUCAGCAAAACUGGGAGCGCCAGGCAGCGGCACACCCGCUAGAGUGAACCUGUCGCCGUGUGCAAGGACCGGGGUUCAACCCCCGCAGCUCACCUGCUAAAUCUUCACAGGCUGUGGAGCAGCCGCAAGUGUCUUUCCUGCUCUCCUUUCCUGCUCCUCUCUGUCAAAACAAAGGAAAGAAAAAUACAGGGUCUGUGAGGACAGAGGCUGUCAUGCAGGCACUGAGCUCCUUAGAUGGCAACUAGUGGAAAGAAAACUGUUUGACAACCCAGCAUUGUGGCUCAGGAGGGCGCAGUGCACGAAGGGCCAGACGCUUCAAGUGUGAGGUCCUGAGUUCAGUUUCUACGUCGAAUGAGCCAGGAUGGUGCUCAGAUCCUCAGCUUCGUCACUGUGUGCACACGGACACACGGACACGCACGCCACCCUGGCACUGGGGAUGUCCACAGAUGGUCGAGUGCUAGUACUCUGCUCUCUCUCCAUCUUCCUCUUCUCUGAGAAAAAAAAAAGGGGGCCAGGUGGUGGUGCACCUGGUUGAGCACACAUUACAGUGUGCCAAGGACCCAGGUUCAAGCCCCUGGUCCCCACCUGCAGGGGGAAAGCUUCAUGAGUGGUGGAGCAGGGCUGCAGGUAUCUGUCUCCCUCUCCAACCCCCCUUGAUUUCUGGCUGUCUCCAUCCGAUAAAUAAAGGAGAAUGGAAGGCUGGA